UACCAGCACCCCGAGUGGUCGGGACGAUUAUUGGGCCUAAAGCAUCCGUAGCCGGCCUUACAAGUCCUCCGUUAAAUCCAGCUGCUUAACAGAUGGGCUGCGGAGGAUACUAUAAGACUAGGAGGCAGGAGAGGCAAGCGGUACUCAGUGGGUAGGGGUAAAGUCCGUUGAUCCAUUGAAGACCACCAGUGGCGAAGGCGGCUUGCCAGAAUGCGCUCGACGGUGAGGGAUGAAAGCUGGGGGAGCAAACCGG
rnacentral:rRNA from 1 species